rnacentral:lncRNA from 1 species
GUGAUAGUCUGCGUCCUACCAGAGGACCUACAUCAGGUACGUGCUAUUGUGAGAAACAGCACUGAUGAAGAAUAUGACAUUGUGACAUUACCCAGAGGAAAUGGUGAACCUUUACCAGAAACCAGCCUGGACAGUGAGUCUGAGAUGGAAGACUGGGAUACACAGAUGGAUGGAGCAGAAGAACGAUGGCCUAAAAGAGCUGCAUUCAAAAUGUCAAGCAUGUAUGCUGUUGUAACCUUGCGAGAUUCAGAUGAGGUGAUGGUGGCAGCAUCAAACUGGCUGAACACAGACAAGACACAAUGUCACUGGCCCCCAUUCAGAUCAGCAGAGAAGUACAUGCAAGCUGUGAAAGACAGAACUGAGCCUUCAACAGCAGGAAAACCAUGGGACAUGUUAAACAUUCUCUUACAUGCAGAAUACGACACCUAUCAGGAGGCUACAACGAAAAAAGAGGAACUUGUAAGAGCACAGAAAGAUGGUUUGUAUGCAGUCAUUACCCUGCAAGAAUCAAGUGAGCUGACUGUGAUACCAACAAACUGGCUGAAUGAACACAAGACACAAUGUUACUGGCCUCCAUUCAAGGCACCUAAGACAUGCACAGAAGCUGUAAAGAACAGACUUGAACCUGCUAGAGGAGAAAAUCCAUGGGAGAUGCUGAACAUCAUAUUUCAUGAACAACAUGCCACUUUUGAACAGGCUAAAGAGAGGGAAGAAGCACUCAGACAGCAGACUGAACCACCCUCUACAUCUUUUGGAUGUCUUGAAAGACAAAACUCUCCACUGCGGUCAGGAAUAUCCACUGGUGGCUUUUCCUCCCAAACCACAGUCAUUAGUCAUGAUAUGGAGAUAAGAAACAAAGCAAAGCAGGUCAUUGAAAGAGUUAUGGCCCAAAUUCAGACCACAACAAAUGCAUUAAAACCUGACAUUGUGUAAGUGUUGAAAAUUAUUUUUGGAGAUCUGUAAACACUUCUCUUUUAAGUACUCGUAAAUG